GUGGUCUCGACGGCCCCUCACUCGGAGCAGCUGGCCCGCCCGCAAGCCCCGGGCAGUGAGGGGCUCAGCACCUGGGCCAGCAGCUGCGGAGGGUGCGCCGGGUCCCCCAGCAGUGCUGGCCCACUGGCGCUGCGCUCGAUUUCUCGCCGGGCCUUAGCUGCCUCCCCCGGGGGCAGAGCUCCGGAUAUGCAGCCUGCCAUGCCUGAGUCUCCCCACCCCGGCCGUGGGCUCCUGCGCCGCCUGAGUCUUCCCGAGGAGCGCCGCGCCCUGCUCCGCGGCACCCGGUCCCAUCCACCGCCCAAUGGCUGAGGAGUGCCGGCGCACGGCGCGCGACUGGCAGGAGUCCAAGAGAUAACAGAGGAUCAUAGCUCAAAGAGCUGCAAGGAGCCCAAUACCCUUUGAGAAGCAGUACGAAGAGACGGGGUUUCACCGUUUUAGCCAGGAUGGUCUCGAUUUCCUGACCUCGUGACCCGCCCGCCUCGGCCUCCCAAAGUGCUGGGAUUACAGGCAUGAGCCACCGCGCCCGGCCUACUGCACUGUUUUACGUGCUACAGAUGUAUCAAGCAAUUUAACCCCAAUUCCUACUGUGCUUAAAAUAAAUAAGACGUGCCUAUAGCUUUUCCCUCUUAAUCUGAAUCCACCAAUGCUCAGAAAUCUCUGGACAUCUUUUGGUUUUCACCAUCAUGAUGUAUGCAUUUAUGUAUACACCUCAACCGUCUCUCCCCAUCCCACUUCCUAUAAUGUGGUAAGUUUCUUGACAGCCAAGACAGUAUCUUCAUCAUCUCUGCAGCUUCAAUGCCUGGAACAGAGUAAGUGCUUCAAAAUAUUCAUCAGUUAGACAAAACUGAAUCCAAGCAGGAUUACUGAGACUAGAAUUUCCAUCUUUUCAAAAAUUGUUGUCAAUCUGCCUUUCUUUCAAAGUAUUUGUAAAAAUUGAGGAAAUGCCUUUAUUCCCUUCUUGGCUCCAUGAAUGUUUCUACUGGGUCCUGGUUUAGUAGAGGCCCUCAAUUAUAAAGAAAACUUGCUGAUAGCAUGUUGCAUAUGGGAGUGAGGGUGUUAAGUUUGCUUUAAUGUUGUGCUUAAAAUUGGAUUGAUUUUUGUACUAAUAGUGUAAUUUCCAGGUAUUUGUUUUAAUAACAAACGGUACUUGAAAUGACUGCUAUUCAGCAGUAAGUUUAUAGCUAAUUAGAGGAGCUUCUCACUGAUGCACGUUAAUGAGUGGGAGAGCUAUUACUGAUCAGAGUGUGAAAGUUUCAAGGAUACCAUCAUAAAAUGUAGUUUGCUUAGUUCUGUAAAUAUAUGUUGUUUACUUUAUUUACAACGGCACAUAGAUUACUCAAGUGCAUAAUACGCUGGUAUAUUAGGUGAAAUAAAAUCUCACUAACGUGAGCUCACCAAAGUGCUCUGUUAUUAAACUUUUAUUAAGGACUGAGAUAAAACAAUUCUCUUUGGAGUAGGAAUUAGAGUGCCUGCUGAUAAUCACUGAAGUGAAGGAGGAAGAGACAAUAAGAGAGACAGCCACGUUCUCAAGGAAACGCCAUUGUGCUCUGACCUUGCCCUUACCAUUCCCAGGGGACUUCAGGUCACUUCACAUAAAUGGAUAACAGAGCAGCUAAAUGUCCUGGAGUGAGUGCCCCAGUGUGUGAAGAUACAAAGGCCACUCCUGGGAUGGGUAUCUCAAUGUAGGGUUUGUUGUUAGGACAGAAAGCAGCCUCAGAGCCAGAGUGCCAACUAUAGCCUUCCACAAUGUGAUGUGAGAUUAAAAGAAAGACACAUAGUCCCCAGCUUCCGAGGGGCUGGCAGUGAGGUAGACAGACAGUGAACAAUGGCGAAGGCAGGCAUGCUGAGGAGGAGCUCAAACUGGACUGUCUACUUAGAGGGGAGCUGAAACCUGGGAAGGUGAAAGGAAAGAGAUUAUUUUUUAAUAACCAAAAUACAUAGCCAUGGCAUUAGCCAAAACAAAGAGAGGAAAUUCCAAUGAAGUAAUUGUUUUCACUCCAGUGGUUCAUUUUCUUUUUGACUGGGAGUGAUCUGGCUGAAUCAAUUAGGUGUUUCAGCUUUGAGCAAACAUGAAGAUAUGUUCAAAUUUCUUAAUCAAAUAUCCAAAGCCAGGUGCGGUGGCUCACACCUGUAAUCCCAGCACUUCGGGAGGCCAAGGUGGGCGGAUCACCUGAGGUCAGGAGUUAGAGACUAGCCUGGCCAGCAUGGUGAAACCCCGUCUCUACUAAAAGUACAAAAAUUAGCUGGGCGUGGUGGCCGGCGCCUGUAAUCCCCAUCUACUCAGGAGGCUGAGGCAUGAAAAUAGCUUGAACUCUGGAGGCGGAGGUUGCAGUGAGCCGAGAUCGUGCCACUGUACUCCAGCCUGGGCGACAAGAGCGAGACUCCAUCUCAAAAAAAUAAAAAUAAAAAUAAAAUAAAAUAUCCAAAUGAAAACUUUCACACAAGUAGAAAGUUUAUUUUUUAUGACAUCUUCGUAUUUAUUUCUUACAUAUCAUAUGUGAAAAGCAGCUCCUUUGCUGAAAAUCUAGUCCAUCCAAGAAUGCAUCAUCAUCUCUGACCAAAAACAAUGGCUGGUGGUAAGGCCGUACUGAGAAAAAAGAAAAAAAUGUUGAAGCUGAAUAACCCUGAGCUUAAGAUUUGAUUUUGUCAUCUACUGGCUGUGUGAUCCUCAGCAAGUUACCAAGGCUCUCUGACCUGUAGAUACCUCAUAUAUUUAUUUAGGGUAGUAAUGUGGACAGCUAGAUGUUGUUAGGAGGAUUGAGAUAGCACACUUCAAGAAGAGUAUCUUGUACAGAAAAAUACACUCAAAUAAAUAAUAUCUAUUGAUAUUAUCAUUAUCAAGUCAUUAAGUUGUAUUUUUAAAUCAAAUGAACUAAAAUAUAGAAAUAGAUCUAUUACAAAAGAGAAUUAAAAUUUCACACUUAAUACAUGAACAGUCAAUGAAAAAUAGGAUGCACUUGGGUAAACAAUUAAUACUGUUAUACCAUAUAAUUUUGUACCAAUAAUUUGGAAAGACAGUUAAAAUAGUAAUUAAAUUAGUUUUUAUUUAGAUUGCCUUUUGUUUGUUCAGUUAUCAAAAGCUUUAAAAGACUCUGAGUGUUUUCAGAAUGACAUCAGCUAAUAGUCCAGUUAGAAAUUUCGGUAUUCCCUUUCCCUGCUCCCCAAGCUCACUGACCUCAGGUGUUCAUGCAUCUAUUCAGUAAAUAAUUAUUGAGCACUGUUCUUGCUACAAAUAUAAAACUGGGCUUCAUGAAGUUUAUUGAUUGGUGGAGAGAAAGAUAAAAAAGUAACAGUUAACUAUGUAGUUACAAAUAUUGGGAAGUGUUUUGAAAGAAAGUGUGAGAAGUGGGCUUAGUGAAGAAAAAGCCAAUCCCAGAGUGAAUAAUAAGCAGAGUGGCUGAAAAUGAAAUCAAAAUUGUAAAAAUAUUCAAUUAAGUCAGCACUUUAUAGGCCAAAGCAAUUAUUUUUAAUAUGUUUUAUUUUUAAUUAUUAUGGUAUAUAAUAUUUGUAUAUAUUUAUUGGAUACAUGUGAUGUUUUGAUACUGUCAUAUAAUGUGUAAUGAUCAAAUCAGGGUAACUGAACUAUGCAACCCCUCCAGCAUUUAUCAUUUCUUUGUGUUCAGAAUAUUCCAAUUCUACACUUUAAUUAUUUAAAAAUAAACAAUAAAUUAUUGUUUACUAUAAUCACUGUAUUGUGCUACUGAAUAAUAGACUUUAUUCAUUCUAACUCUCAUUUGUACCAAUUAACCUUCCCCACUUUAUCCUCCACUCAUUGCUACCCUUUCAGCCUCUGGUAUCCAUCAUUCUGCUAUCUUCAUUAAUUCAUAUAUAUUUUUUUUUUUAGCUCCCACGUAUUAGUGAUAACAUGGGAGAACAGAAAACAUUGUCUUUCUGUGGCUGGAUAAUUUUACUUAACACAAUGAACCCCAGUUCCAUCCAUGUGGCUGCAAAUGACAGGAUUUUAUUCUUUUUACAGCUGAAUAAUAUUCUACUGUGUAUAUGUACCAUACUUUAUCCAUUUAUCCUUUGAUGGGCACUUAGGUUGAUCCAUAUCUUAGCUAUUGUGAAUACUAGUGCAAUAAACGUCAGAGUGCAGAUGUCUCUUCAAUAGACUGAUUUCCUUUCUUUUGGGUAUAUACUCAGCAGUAGGACUGCUGUAUCACAUGGUAGUUCUAUUUUUAGUUUUUUGUUUUUUUUUUUUUGGAAACUCCAUACUGUUCUCCAUAGUAGCCGUACUAAUUUACACUCCCACCAACAGUGUAUGUGGGUUCCCCUUUCUCCACAUCCUCACCAGCUUGUUACAGACUGUCUUUGGAAUAAAAGCCAUUUUAACAGGGGAGAAAUGAUAUCUCAUUGUAGUUUUGAUUAUCAUUUCUCUGAUUUGUGAUGAAGAGCAUUUUUUUAUUAUACCUGUUGACCAUAUAUAUGUCUUCUUUUUUAAAAAAAAUGUCUAUUCAGAUCUUUUGCCCAUUUUUAACCAGAUUGUUUUUCUACUAUUGAGUUGUUUGAGCUCUUUAUACAUUCUGGUUCUUAAUCCCUUGUCAGAUGGUUAGUUUGCAAAUAUUUUCUUCUAAUCUGUGAGUUGUCUCUUUAUUUUAUUAAUUGUUUCCUUUGCUAUGCAGAAGCUUUUUAUCUUGAUGUGAUCUCUGUUGUCCAUUUUCACUUUCAUCACCUGUGCCUUCAAGGUGUUACUUAAGAAAUCUUUGCCUAGCUGAAUACCCUGGAAUGACUCCCAAAUGUGUUUUUUCUAGUAGUUUCACAGUUUCACAUCUGAGAUUUGAGCCUUUAAUCCAUUUUGAGUUGAUUUUUAUAUAUGGUGAGAAAUAAUCUAGUUUCAUUCUUUUGCAUAUGGAUAUCCAGUUUUCCCAACACCAUUUGUUGAAGACUGUCCUUUCUCCAAUGUAUGUUCUUGGCACCUUUAUCAAAAACAAGUUGGUAGAAAGGCAUGAAUUGAUUUUGGGGUUUUUUAAUUCUGUUCCAUUGGUCUUUGUGUCUGUUUUUAUGCCAGUACCAUGCUGUUUUUGUUACUAUAGCUUUGUAGUAUAAUUCGAAGUCAGAUAAUGUGAUUUUUCCAGUUUUGUUAUUUUUGCUCAGGGUGGCUUUGGUAAUUCUGGAUCUUUUGUGGUUUCAUAUAAAUGUUAAGUUUUUUUGUGAAGAAUGUCAUUGAUAUUUUGAUAGGGAUUGCAUUGAAUCUGUAGAUUGCUUUGGGUAGUAUGAACAUUUAAACAAUAUUGAUGCUUCCAAUCCAUGAACAUGGGCUAUCUUUUCAUUUUUUGUGUCUUCUUCAAUUUAUUUUAUCAAUGUUUUAUAGUUUUAAUUGAAAAGAUCUUUCCCUUCUUUUGUUAAUUUUUAGAUAUUUUAUUUGUAGCCAUUGUAAAUGGAAUUACUUUCUUGGUUUUUUUUUCAAAUUGUUUGCUAUUGGCAUAUAGAAAUGCUACUAAUUUUUUGUGUGUUGAUUUUGUAAACUGAACGUUUACUGAAUUUAUUUGCCAGUUCUAAUAGUUUUUUGGUAAUGUCUGCAUUUUUCUAAAUAUAAGAUGAUAUCAUCUGCUAUCCAGGAUAAUUUGACUUCUUCCUUUCUAAUUGACUUCUUCCUUUCUAAUUUGAAUGCUUUUUAUUUAUUUCUCUUGUCUCAUUGCUCUGGCUAGAACGUUCAGUACUAUGUUGAAUAAAAGUGAUAAAAGUCAGCAUCCUUGUCUUGUUCUAGAUCUUAGAAGAUAGGUUUUCAGUUUUCCCCUGUUCAGUAUGAUACUAGGUGUGGGUUUGUUGUAUGUGGUUUAUGCUUUCUGAGAUGGCAAGCAGUGAGAAUAUUUCAACUGGGAAAGAAUUUUGAGUGGGAACUUUUCAAAUUAUCAUUCUGGCUGCUGAGUAGAGAGUGGAUUAGAGAGGAGAAAGGGAGAAAGUUGGCAGAACCUGUGUGGAGGGCACUGCAAUAAUCCAGAUGGUGAUUUUGGCUAGGACAGUGGCAGCAAAUCAGAGAGGUGCAGGCCCACACAUAGACAUAUUUCACAGAAAAAGUUGGCAGGAAUUGCUAAAGCAUGGCAUGUGUUGGGAAAGAAGAUGCAGGAAUCAAGGCUGACUGCCAGGCCCCAUCCCUGUGUGGUAUCAGCCUUGGCAUUUUCUUCCCAGGCCAGUGUCUCAGUCUCCAGAUUUCCCUGAUCACUUUCUCAUCCCUUUCUCCAACUGCCAUACCUACUUUACAAUUAUGUCCCCUGCCUCCUUUCCUCAGGAAUCUACUUAUGUAUGCAAUAUAGUUAACUCUAUUUGUACCAGAAACACUUAGUCAUUUACUGAGUGUUUCCUUCAAUUUUAGGAAUAGUAUUCCAAGAUUUAAACUGAUGAAAAGACAAAGGCAUUAUAAGCAGGUGAUGCAUAGGUAUUUUAGAUGAUUAGUUUAUUUGAAUCCGGCUCAUAUCGUAGCAUUCCAAACACUUCCAAGUUAUAUUUCAAAAAACAUGUUUCUUAAAAGAUUAGCUUAUCCUCAUGAAUAUAUUAUUUUCCAUCUACUUUCUCCUUAAUGCACUGCCAUCAUUAUUUAACAGAAGCUUCCUACCUGAAGUUAUCUACAAUCUCCUAUAUUUUCUGUUCUAAUGUACACAUAUACUAUUAUAAAUUUCUUUCUAAACACUGCUUUCUCUGCAUUCUACAAAAAUUGACAAAUUGUAUUUUCAUUUCCUUGAUGAUUAAAAUUCACCAUUUUUUCAUAUAUACCUUUUGACCAUUUAUGUCUUCUUUGGAGAAAUGUCUAUUCAUGUCCUUUGCCCAUUUUAAAAUAAAAGUAUUUGUUUUUCACUGCUGAGUUGUUUGAGUGGCCUGUAUAUAUUGGAUAUUAGUCCCCUAUCAGAUGAGUAAUUUGCAAAUAUUUUUCUCCCAUUCAAAAUGUUGCCUCUUUAGGCUGUUGAUUGUUUAUUUUGCUGUGCAGAAGCUUUUAAACUUAAUAUAGUCCCGUUUGUCUGUUUUUUAUUUUCUUGCCUGUGCUAUUGAGAUCUUAACCGUAAAAUUUUUGCCUAUAUCAAUGUCCUGAAGAAUUUUACGUUUGUUUUCUUCCAGUAGUUUUACAGUUUCAGGUCUUACCUUUAAGUCCUUAAUCUAUCUUGGGUUGACUUUUGAAUAUGGUGAAAUAUAGGUAUGCAGUUUUAUUCUUCUGCAUGUGGUUAUCCAGUUUCUCCAGCACCAUUUACUGAAGAGAGUGUUAUUUCCCCAAUGUAUGUCCUUGAAAGCUUUGUUGAAGAUCAAUUGGCUGAAAAUAUGUGGUUUUACUUCUGGACUCUCUAUACUGUCUCAUUAGUGUAUGUGUCUAUUUUUAUACCAAUACGAUGGUGUUUUGUAAUAUGUUUUGGAAGUCACAGAGUAUAAUGCCUCCAGAUCUGUUCUAUUUGCUCAAGGUUGCUUUGGCUAUUCAGGCUCAUUUAUUGGUAUUACAAGAAUUUUAGAAUUUUUUUUCCUAUUUCUGUGAAAAAUGUUGUUAGAAUUUUGAUAGGGCUUUCAUGAAAUCUAUAUAUUGCUUUGGGCAAUAUGGCCACUUUAAUAAUAUUAAUGCUUCCAACUCAUUAACAUGAGUUCAUGAGUUUCAUUUAUGUCCUCUUUAAUUUAUUUCAUCCACGUUUUAUAGAUUUUCUUAUAGACAUCUUGCAGCUAUUGGCUAAAUUUAUUCCUAGGAAUUUUACUUAAUGUUAUAACUAUUGUAAAUGUGAUCACCUUCUUUCUUUCUUUCUAGGGCACUUCAUUAUUGGUAUAUA
rnacentral:lncRNA from 1 species